ACGAGCGAUUGUUUCUCGUGAUC
rnacentral:miRNA from 8 species